GAUGAACGCUGGCGGCGUGCCUAAUACAUGCAAGUCGAGCGAACGGACGAGAAGCUUGCUUCUCUGAUGUUAGCGGCGGACGGGUGAGUAACACGUGGAUAACCUACCUAUAAGACUGGGAUAACUUCGGGAAACCGGAGCUAAUACCGGAUGAUAUUUUGAACCGCAUGGUUCAAAAGUGAAAGACGGUCUUGCUGUCACUUAUAGAUGUAUCCGCGCUGCAUUAGCUAGUUGGUAAGGUAACGGCUUACCAAGGCAACGAUGCAUAGCCGACCUGAGAGGGUGAUCGGCCACACUGGAACUGAGGCACGGUCCAGACUCCUACGGGAGGCAGCAGUAGGGAAUCUUCCGCAAUGGGCGAAAGCCUGACGGAGCAACGCCGCGUGAGUGAUGAAGGUCUUCGGAUCGUAAAACUCUGUUAUUAGGGAAGAACAUAUGUGUAAGUAACUGUGCACAUCUUGACGGUACCUAAUCAGAAAGCCACGGCUAACUACGUG
rnacentral:rRNA from 1 species